rnacentral:snoRNA from 1 species
GCAGAAUUGCUUUUGAAAGCUAUUCAGUGUGCAUAUUAAUGAUGACCUACCAUUUUUUCUGUCUGCCAGAAAAACAUUCCAGUGUACUGUGGCUGCCUUGACCUGUUGGGGAGUUGCACCUACCCAGGGACACAGAA